rnacentral:rRNA from 1 species
AUGAACGCUAGCUACAGGCUUAACACAUGCAAGUCGAGGGGCAGCAUUUUAGUUUGCUUGCGAACUGAAGAUGGCGACCGGCGCACGGGUGAGUAACACGUAUCCAACCUGCCGAUAACUCCGGGAUAGCCUUUCGAAAGAAAGAUUAAUACCGGAUAGCAUACGAAUAUCGCAUGAUAUUUUUAUUAAAGAAUUUCGGUUAUCGAUGGGGAUGCGUUCCAUUAGUUUGUUGGCGGGGUAACGGCCCACCAAGACUACGAUGGAUAGGGGUUCUGAGAGGAAGGUCCCCCACAUUGGAACUGAGACACGGUCCGAACUCCUACGGGAGGCAGCAGUGAGGAAUAUUGGUCAAUGGGCGAGAGCCUGAACCAGCCAAGUAGCGUGAAGGAUGAAGGCUCUAUGGGUCGUAAACUUCUUUUAUAUGGGAAUAAAGUUUUCCACGUGUGGAAUUUUGUAUGUACCAUAUGAAUAAGGAUCGGCUAACUCCGUGCCAGCAGCCGCGGUAAUACGGAGGAUCCGAGCGUUAUCCGGAUUUAUUGGGUUUAAAGGGAGCGUAGGUGGAUUGUUAAGUCAGUUGUGAAAGUUUGCGGCUCAACCGUAAAAUUGCAGUUGAAACUGGCAGUCUUGAGUACAGUAGAGGUGGGCGGAAUUCGUGGUGUAGCGGUGAAAUGCUUAGAUAUCACGAAGAACUCCGAUUGCGAAGGCAGCUCACUAGACUGUUACUGACACUGAUGCUCGAAAGUGUGGGUAUCAAACAGGAUUAGAUACCCUGGUAGUCCACACAGUAAACGAUGAAUACUCGCUGUUUGCGAUAUACAGUAAGCGGCCAAGCGAAAGCAUUAAGUAUUCCACCUGGGGAGUACGCCGGCAACGGUGAAACUCAAAGGAAUUGACGGGGGCCCGCACAAGCAGUGGAGUAUGUGGUUUAAUUCGACGCAACGCGAAGAACCUUACCAGGUCUUGACAUCCGAUGCAUAGUGCAGAGAUGCAUGAAGUCCUUCGGGACAUCGAGACAGGUGGUGCAUGGUUGUCGUCAGCUCGUGCCGUGAGGUGUCGGCUUAAGUGCCAUAACGAGCGCAACCCUUAUCUUUAGUUACUAACAGGUCAUGCUGAGGACUCUAGAGAGACUGCCGUCGUAAGAUGUGAGGAAGGUGGGGAUGACGUCAAAUCAGCACGGCCCUUACGUCCGGGGCUACACACGUGUUACAAUGGGGGGUACAGAAGGCGGCUACCUGGUGACAGGAUGCUAAUCCCAAAAACCUCUCUCAGUUCGGAUCGAAGUCUGCAACCCGACUUCGUGAAGCUGGAUUCGCUAGUAAUCGCGCAUCAGCCAUGGCGCGGUGAAUACGUUCCCGGGCCUUGUACACACCGCCCGUCAAGCCAUGAAAGCCGGGGGUACCUGAAGUACGUAACCGCAAGGAGCGUCCUAGGGUAAAACUGGUAAUUGGGGCU